UGGGGAAUAUUGCACAAUGGGCGCAAGCCUGAUGCAGCCAUGCCGCGCGUAUGAAGAAGGCCUUCGGGUUGUAAAGUACUUUCAGUCGGGAGGAAGGUGGUAAGGUUAAUAACCUUAUCAAUUGACGUUACCGACAGAAGAAGCACCGGCUAACUCCGUGCCAGCAGCCGCGGUAAUACGGAGGGUGCAAGCGUUAAUCGGAAUUACUGGGCGUAAAGCGCACGCAGGCGGUUGAUUGAGUCAGAUGUGAAAUCCCCGGGCUUAACCCGGGAAUUGCAUCUGAUACUGGUCAGCUAGAGUCUUGUAGAGGGGGGUAGAAUUCCAUGUGUAGCGGUGAAAUGCGUAGAGAUGUGGAGGAAUACCGGUAGCGAAGGCGGCCCCCUGGACAAAGACUGACGCUCAGGUGCGAAAGCGUGGGGAGCAAACAGG
rnacentral:rRNA from 1 species